rnacentral:lncRNA from 1 species
CACGACAGUACAAGAUGGAAGUUGUAUAAUAUGUAAUUUUUCCACUUGAGUCACAACAGUACAAGAGUGUCCCGCCCCCCUUUUUUUUUUUUUUUUUUUUGUGAGGCUUCAUAUGUCUUCUUUUAGGGAAAGUGUUUUUCUUAGUUUUGAAACUAUGUCUCCAGGUGCUUUACUCCAUACUGUGCAUACAGUGCAUAAGACCUUUUCAGCACUGAAAACAAAAACAGAUCAGAAUUCAUAGAAGGGAUUUCAGUGGCAUAACAUUGUUCUUCACUCUAUCAUUUGCAGUGUUUUAUUUUAACUAUUGGCUGCAAUGCAUAGUAGGUUUUAAAGGCACGUUCUUUACAGAUACAAGGGAAAACUGAAUUGGGCUUGUGUACCCAAACAUAGCCACUAAAGGGAUGUCUACAAAGGGUCUGUGCAACUCCACAGAGUAACAACACCCAUUUUCCUUUUCCUCAGCAGCCUCUUCAUAAGGAGUCUUUUAACUUAAGAAGGGAGGUACUGUUUCAAAACAAACAAACAAACAAAACCAAAAAAAAAGAGAUUAAAAAACUAAAGCACAAUAUAGCAUCUUUCAAAAAGAUACAAGUGCAUUUUAUGGGUAAGAGGAAAUAAAAAUGAAUAAGUUUACAAAUUGCUCUCGGUCCAACGUCACUCAAUUCAACAGCUACAGUUAUGCUGAAGUAUUUGUCACUGUCAUUUCUUUUAGCAUGCAUCCCUUUCAGUCCUGCUGUCAAGCCUCCAGUUUGGUGAUGAUAUUUUUCCUUUACAGUGACAAACAUCUUGAUUAUGCAGAAACAGCAGUAAUAAAGUGUAGAAUGAAUUUCAAGGGGACUAGUCCAAAGCAGCCAUCAAUAACUUCUGAUCUGACAGAGGUGAUAAUUAAGAUUGCCAUUUAAAUAUUCCUCCAAGAUUUCUGCUCAGAAGACAAAUUCUAGGUGGACCACGAGAGCCACAAAGGGUGCAAGACAACCACCUAUAAAAGAAGAAACUCCAGGCUUUUUCACAAGGACUUCUCCAUGUCCAUCAUAAGAGAGAACCUGCAGGUCAGCUGCAUAAAACACUGCUUUCACUUGGUCCUGUUGUCUGCAGGCUUCAACAUUAAGAAUCUGUUGGACAGGCA